AUCCUGUUAAAUUGAUUAUAGUGGUACAUGGCGCAGGUGGGGGUGCCAACCACACCUGGCCGCAUAUGGUCCACGCGUACCUCAACGAACAGCCAGACAGAUAGACGGACACAUGGUCCGGUCCACCUGUUCGCCGUUAUCAUCCCCAUCAUAUCAUCUCAGCACACGUGAGGUCCCUACCUCAGUGUCCCAGUCCUCCACGUUAUCAUCCCCAUCAUAUCAUCUCAGCACAUGUGAGGUCCCUACCUCAGUGUCCCAGUCAGUAAGUGUGUAUCAUCCCCAUCAUAUCAUCUCAGCACAUGUGAGGUCCCUACCUCAGUGUCCCAGUCAGUAAGUGUGUAUCAUCCCCAUCAUAUCAUCUCAGCACAUGUGAGGUCCCUACCUCAGUGUCCCAGUCCUCCACGUUAUCAUCCCCAUCAUAUCAUCUCAGCACACGUGAAGUCCCUACCUCAGUGUACCAGUCAGUAAGUGUGUAUCAUCCCCAUCAUAUCAUCUCAGCACAUGUGAGGUCCCUACCUCAGUGUCCCAGUCCUCCAUGUUAUCAUCCCCAUCAUAUCAUCUCAGCACACGUGAGGUCCCUACCUCAGUGUCCCAGUCAGUAAGUGUGUAUCAUCCCCAUC
ensembl:lncRNA